GGCGCCCGACUCGCGCCAGCGCUAACUGGCGCCCCAGUGGGUGCGGGGAAACGCCCGCGUCCUGGGCUAGGGGUUUGUGGCGCCGCUUCCAGAGUGAGAAGCAGAGCCUGGUUUGAGGCUGACCUUCGUGCCCGUUUGGGACGCCGCCCAGGCUUCUCGACCCCCUGGUGGCUGAGGAAAUAAAAAUCAUGGUGCGACAUGGACCAGUAAUGUCUGGCGGCCUUUUGACCUGUGACAGUCUCCAUGACGGGCAUCCCUUCUCAAGGCCCCGCACAGAUCAGUACAGGAAGAUCACAGCACUGCACUCCUCACCCUGGAGGCCAACUGUAUGCACCAAGGACAGGAUCCUGCACCGUGUCAAAGGAACAGCGUGAGGAGGGCACAGGACACUUACCAGAGAGGGGUAUCCCCAUCUGGAAAUUUCCCUGCAGGCACUGUCUUUAUGCUCAAAGAGAGGAUCCACACAGGUUCGCCAGGAUGCAAACCUGCACUCCAGUGUCCCUGUCACUCGUCAGGUAACUUGGCCACCCAAAACCUUUUCCUCACUCUCUGCCUCAUUUCCCUGUGCGUGGCUGCAAGGGGAACACUGUCACCGGUGAUGGCUGGCUGACACUUUGACCUGCAGUAACGCCAUGGAGCCAGCCAGUGGGAAGAGUCUGCAUGUGCCUUCCUCAAGGUACCUACUCAGUGGGGAGACCUUACUGUCGAGUUCAAUGUUAAACCACAAACAUGGAAGAUUCUUGCAAAGCACUGGGCCUGAUUCUAGAACCUGUGCCGGUCAGCCCAGGACCCACCACGGCAAGACCCACAUCCCACUCAGUGCUCACCCAGCACUGUGUCCACGUGGCAAUGGACAUUAGUCAUGUUCCCCACCCCUUUCUGGGGGUGAUGUUGGCGGGAGAUGUGCCCUGUGCAGAGGUCUAAUGUUGUGUCCCUCGCUUUGAAGUCAGUCCCCACUGUGGGGGCUGGAAAGUACCCUGAAUUUCUUGUGGUUACACUGAGAUUCCUUGUUUAAAGCUGUAAA